AUUGAACGCUGGCGGCAUGCCUUACACAUGCAAGUCGAACGGUAACAGGUUAAGCUGACGAGUGGCGAACGGGUGAGUAAUAUAUCGGAACGUGCCCAGUCGUGGGGGAUAACGUAGCGAAAGCUACGCUAAUACCGCAUACGAUCUACGGAUGAAAGCGGGGGAUCGCAAGACCUCGCGCGAUUGGAGCGGCCGAUAUCAGAUUAGCUAGUUGGUGAGGUAAAGGCUCACCAAGGCGACGAUCUGUAGCUGGUCUGAGAGGACGACCAGCCACACUGGAACUGAGACACGGUCCAGACUCCUACGGGAGGCAGCAGUGGGGAAUUUUGGACAAUGGGCGCAAGCCUGAUCCAGCAAUGCCGCGUGCAGGACGAAGGCCUUCGGGUUGUAAACUGCUUUUGUACGGAGCGAAACGGUCUUCUCUAAUACAGGGGGCUAAUGACGGUACCGUAAGAAUAAGCACCGGCUAACUACGUGCCAGCAGCCGCAGUAA
rnacentral:rRNA from 1 species